rnacentral:rRNA from 1 species
CAGCCGCCGCGGGAAUACGUAGGGUGCGAGCGUUAAUCGGAAUUACUGGGCGUAAAGCGUGCGCAGGCGGUUUUGUAAGACAGGCGUGAAAUCCCCGGGCUCAACCUGGGAAUGGCGCUUGUGACUGCAAAGCUAGAGUGCGGCAGAGGGGGAUGGAAUUCCGCGUGUAGCAGUGAAAUGCGUAGAUAUGCGGAGGAACACCGAUGGCGAAGGCAAUCCCCUGGGCCUGCACUGACGCUCAUGCACGUAAGCGUGGGGAGCAAACAGGAUUAGAUACCCCAGUAGUCCCUGUCUCUUAUAC